UGGGGAAUUUUGGACAAUGGGCGCAAGCCUGAUCCAGCCAUGCCGCGUGAGUGAAGAAGGCCUUCGGGUUGUAAAGCUCUUUCGGCCGGGACGAAAUCGCUUUCGCUAAUAUCGAGAGUGGAUGACGGUACCGGAAUAAGAAGCACCGGCUAACUACGUGCCAGCAGCCGCGGUAAUACGUAGGGUGCAAGCGUUAAUCGGAAUUACUGGGCGUAAAGCGUGCGCAGGCGGUUUCGCAAGUCAGAUGUGAAAGCCCCGGGCUUAACCUGGGAACUGCGUUUGAAACUACGAAGCUAGAGUACGGCAGAGGGAGGUGGAAUUCCAAGUGUAGCAGUGAAAUGCGUAGAUAUUUGGAGGAACACCGAUGGCGAAGGCAGCCUCCUGGGCUAGUACUGACGCUCAUGCACGAAAGCGUGGGGAGCAAACAGG
rnacentral:rRNA from 1 species